rnacentral:lncRNA from 1 species
ACUGUGGGGCCGGCUCCUCAUCAGCGAGGAAAAGGACAGUGGGCCUCACAAAAGCCAUAACCAAGUGGAAGGAGCAAGGCUGCAGUCCACAGGGGUGCCGGUAGGGCAGGCAUGCCUAGGGCAGUGGGGGCCCAUUGACCCCUGGGUGGUAGAAGGCACAGUUGUUCUCAUAGCGGCAGUUGCCCUUCAUUAUGAAGUGUGGGCAGACAGGGCGAUUUGACAUGUCUCCUACAUGACUGUGACCUCCAUCAUGCCCUCGGUUGCCGCCUCCCCCAUGGCCAUCAUGACCACGGUGUUCAUGAGGUGGUGGCCCUCGAUGGUCAUGGCCUCGAUGGCUAGGGACAUCAUGUGGCCGGUGGCCAUGGGGUCCUCCGUGUCCAGGGCCUUCAUGGGAACGAUGUCCACCACUUCCACCCAUGUUCCCUCCAGGGCCCUCAUGGGAACGAUGUCCACCACUUCCCCAUGUUCCCUCCAGGGCCUUAAUGGGGCCGGUGCCCACCACCUGCAACCAUGCCUCCUCCACCAGGACCCCCUCGGCCAUUUGGGUGUCCUCCUCCAGAACGACCUCCUCUGGCUCCUCAGAACGGAGGUGGUGGCGGUGGCUCAUUUCCUCCUCGACACCCUAGGCCUCUGUGGUAUGGUCCAGGGCCAGGUCCUGGACCCCCACGCAUUGGCCACCUCGCAUGGGAUCACCUGGCCAUCCCAGAAUGGAUCACCUCCCCGAGAAGAUGGUGGGGGACCUAAGAGACGUGGACCCACUGGUCCACUAGGGCCUCCAUGGGGACCUGGCAUGGGCCCUGCAGGACCAGUCCCCCUCUCUUUUAGCUUGAAGGUUGUAUGUACUUUUGCUCUCUAUUCAGGCUGGGGUUGUGCUCUCUUGCUCUCUCCCUUUCUCACACUCUCACACUCACACACUCAUUCUGUGUGUUCUUUUUCUUCUUCCACACACACUUCACACACUCUUCAUACUCUUUCACACAUUCCAAUUCUCUCCUUACACACUCUCUUCACUCGCUCUCUUACUUACUCUCUCACUCUCUCUCCACGCACUCUCCACACAC